UCUCUGAUAGUAUAUCGGUUAGUACACGCGCCUGUCAUUUGAUUUACGCGCGAAAGCUGGGUUCGACUCCCAGUCAGAGAG